rnacentral:lncRNA from 1 species
CUGAAUAGUCAUAAUUAAGGAAUUUAUAUUUUGUUAGCUUUUUCUGGACAGAGCAAAACAACUCUGACUCUAUAUAUAACCACUUCUUCACAUCACAUUCGAUAUGCAUAGAGUGAAAAUGGAGUCUUCUAAGCAGCUCACUGCUCUUCUCUUAAUCUCCAUGUUUUUCAUCUCUUCUGCCGCACCAAUUGCUCUUGAUUGUGUACCCUGCGGCGAUAAACCCCCUCACCACCAUAAUAAACCACCCAAAUCCCCCAAACCACCUACCGGUAAACCACCAACCACCCAUCCUCCCGUUGUCAAACCACCAAAAACCCACCCGCCAGUCGUCAAGCCACCAGUUGUAAGACCACCAAUCACCCUCCCACCGAUCGUCAGACCACCAGUUGUAACCCCACCCAUCGUCAAACCACCAGUUGUAACCCCACCAAUAACCCUUCCACCAGUUGUAACACCACCAAUCACCCUUCCACCCAUCGUUAAACCACCAAUUACCCUCCCACCAGUAGUGAACCCACCAUCUACGAAGCCAGGAACUCCAUGCCCACCACCACCGUUUGUUCCUGCGCCAGCGGCCACCUGCCCCAUUGACGCACUGAAGCUUGGAGCUUGUGUGGAUCUUUUAGGUGGAUUGAUUCAUAUCGGGUUGGGUGACCCUGUGGUGAACAAAUGUUGCCCAAUUCUUGCUGGGCUAGUGGAGCUUGAGGCUGCCGUAUGCUUAUGUACAACACUAAAGCUUAAGUUAUUGAAUAUCAACAUAUAUCUGCCACUUGCUCUUCAGUUGCUUGUUACUUGUGGCAAGACUCCUCCUCCUGGUUACACUUGUUCUAUUUAAGUUUUCAAGAUCCCAUUUUAGGUAACUUUCUUUACUCAUGCAAACCCUAACCUCUCUCUCUCUCUCUCUCUCUCUCUCUCUCUCUCNNNNNNNNNNNNNNNNNNCUCUCUCUCUCUCUCUCUCUCUCUCUCUCUCUCUCUCUCUCUCUCUCUCUCUCUCUCUCUCUCUUGUCGGUGUAAGUGACUAAGAUUGUUUUUUAUGCAUUUCACUUUUUCUUGGUCUUUGGUGUCUUUUAGUUCCAUCGGUUUAAUAUGGGUUUAAGUAAAAUCGUUUUUCCUGCAUAUUAAGUAGACACACUUUAAACAUUGUAACCGUAAUUGUAAAAGUUGAUAAACACAAUCAUGUUCUCCAACGUUUGUGGGUUUGAAAAAUUAUGCUCAUAUGCUCUGAUCGCUAACUAGCUUAACUCUGUGUUGAGUAUUCUCCUUUCAAAAAAAAAGAAAAAACAAACAAAUAAAACAGUACAUUGUUCACCAAUAAGGACAUAGUGAAGAAAGUUUGUGAACCAUAAUCAACAUAUUGUAAAAUGAUGUAAUUAAAGCUAAUGCAUAAAAAUCUGUAUAUAGAACUUAUAAAAAAAUGUUAGUUUUUCUAAGAUAACAUAAAAAGAAAAUGUCACCUUUUAAGACCUGUAGAACAAUAAUUGAUGGGGUGAUACAAUUAUCGCUCGCCAUUGACAUGCAUGGUGAUCUACAGCCCCAUUGGCUAGAACACUGAAUCUUUUACAUGAUAAUCAACUAUAGACCAAAGACUUAUAGCUAACCUAUUGGGAUUUGGGAGUUUGAAAAAGUUUCAUUAAAUUGAAAGUUGAAGUGUCGCUUUGUAAAUCCUAACUUGUAGCUUUAUUUAAUAAAAUAUUUUGUUUUUUUACUUUUUAUUUUUUUAAUUCCUAACUUUGUUCUUAUAUUAUCAUACACAGUUUUUUCUUAUUUGUGAUUAUUACUUUUAUUUUUAUUUUAAAAAAUCUUCAUGAAAUUGAUGCAGGGGUUGGGUACGUUGAUGAAUCCACUGAUGAAAUUGUUGAGGAUGUCGACUUAUCCAAAAAUCUCUUUGUUUGGAGUGAUUAAGGAACUUUUCGAUUGUUUUGAUUGAUGUUUAAUUUAAGUUGGAGAUCAUUUUUUUUGUUUGAAAGAUGAUUAGUUAUUGUUUAAUGCAUGGUUUGUUGUGUUGAUGUAAGGAAUUAAAAGCAGUAAUUAAUCAAGGGACUGAAUGUUUUUAAUUAUUAUUUCUUUUCUUACCAAAUGCCUCUAGUCCGACGUAUUAGGCGUUGUCCUCCCCCUUUUAGGUCAAGGUUCAAUAUCUGUUUGAGAUAUAUGUGCCAUGUGGA